rnacentral:rRNA from 1 species
GACGAACGCUGGCGGCGUGCUUAACACAUGCAAGUCGAACGAAGUGGCGAACGGGUUAGUAAUACGUGGGUAACCUGCCCUCCUUUUUGGGAUAAGCCUUGGAAACGGGGUCUAAUACCGAAUAAAGGGGGUUGGGCUCGCGGCCUAUCGGCGUGUGGGUGGGGUGAUGGGCUACCACGGCGGUGACGGGUAGCCGGCCUGAGAGGGUGACCGGCCACAUGGGGAGUGCGGGACGGCCGAGACUGAGACAGGAUGAAGCAGGUGAGGAGAGUGAACAAUGGGGGAAAGCCUGAUGCAGCGAAGCCGCGUGGGGGGUGAAGGCGUGCGGGUUGUAAACGUCUUUCGCUAGCGAAGGGGUAGGUGGAGAAGAAGCGCCGGCUAACUACGUGCCAGCAGCCGCGGUAAUAC